AACGGUCUAUGAACAAUACAAGAUGGCAUCAUUGGAAACCACUCCAGUUAUUUAUAGAUUUGCGUUUCCUCAUAGCUUCGGUCAUAUGACUGUUUUUGUCAAAACAGCAACACAGAUCAUUUUCUGUCUCGCCGGGUGUGAAAAAGACACAAUUGAUAUGAUACGGUUCAGGUUUCAUGUUCUUUUACGUUCAGACUGCCUUUAACCAGAUGUCUUAGGUUUAAAAUCAUUCACAAGGGUUCGUUGACACCAUGGCUCAGUGACAUCAUUUUACAAACCCGAUAUUUUAAGUGUCAUGCCUCAACCAAACGGCUACUCCAUCAACUCGGCCCCUUCGGACGACAGCGAGGACGUUAAACCCCUCAUUGAGAAUGACGCAGUCCCUCCUCAGUGCUGCUCGGCUCGCCUCAACCUGGCCUUCCUGAUGUUUCUCGGGUUCGCUGUAGUCUACGGUCUUCGUGUCAACCUCAGUGUUGCCAUGGUAGCCAUGGUGAAUAUCACUGACCCCAAACCCUCCCAGAACACCUCUGUGAUCUAUGCCUGUCCACUGCCAGCAAGGUCGGAAAACACCAGUGACACUUUCCUACAACCUGAGGGGACCCCACAGUACCUGUGGGACUCGGAGACUCAGGGCUGGCUGCUGGGAGCCUUCUUCUUCGGCUACCUGUGCACACAGAUCCCGGGCGGCUACCUGGCCGGUCACUUCGGGGGGAGCAUCUUUCUGGGUUUGGGUGUGCUGGGCACUGCUGUCCUCACGCUGCUCACCCCUCUGGCGGCCCAGAUGGGUUCCUACUGGCUGUUUGCACUGCGAGCAUUGGAGGGCUUUGGAGAGGGUGUGACAUUCCCGGCCAUGAUGGCCAUGUGGGCUCGGUGGGCUCCUCCUCUGGAGCGCUCUCGUCUGAUGACCCUGUCCGGAUCUGGGGCCAACUUUGGGGCCUUUUUGGCUCUGCCGCUCACCGGUUACAUCUGCCAAACCUUAGGCUGGCCCGCUGUCUUCUACCUCUGUGGGAGUGCUGGUUGCCUCUGGGCCGUCUUUUGGUUUAUUUUUGUAUCCAACGACCCUCGCACCCACCGUCGAAUCAGUGAAGAGGAGCGAGAUUACAUCAUAAACUCCAUCGGACCUCAGGGUACAGGUCAUGGCUGGGCCGUGCCCGUGUUGCCCAUGCUGCUGUCGGUCCCUCUGUGGUCCAUCAUCAUCACCCAGAUGUGUUCCAACUGGAGCUACUACACCCUGCUCACCUCCCUGCCCACCUACAUGGAUAAUAUCUUGCACUUUGACCUACAAUCGAAUGGGUUUCUGUCGGCCCUGCCGUACCUCGGUGCCUGGUUAGUCUCGACUCUGUCAGGUGUCGUAGCAGACAGUCUGAUUGAGAGGAAGGUGUUCAGCAUCACCAAUGUACGCAAGCUCUUCACACUCGCAGGUGUGUUGCCAGCGUCGGCUCUCCUCGUGGCUGUGAGUUACGCCGGCUGCAGCCACAUCCUUACCGUCACCUUCCUCACGCUCUCCACAACCAUAGGAGGGGCAACCGCGUCCGGAGUCUACAUCAACCAAAUAGACAUCGCUCCUCGUUGUGAUGAAGACUCAGUCGUUUGAACAGUAAUAUUUUGAAGUGGACAAGCUUUCAGCCAAAUCCUCAAGUUUUGGUCAUCCUGACUCAUAAUUAUACGCGGGAAUACUUCUAGGAAUCACCAACACAUUUGGGACCAUUCCUGGUGUCUUGGCACCCAUUGUUACAGGAUACUUUACUAAGGAUCACACCCUGGCAGGCUGGAGGAUGGUGUUCUGGGUGGCUGCUGGGAUCAACGUCGGCGGUGCCCUCGUCUACACAAUAUUCGGCAGUGGGGAGAUCCAGCCGUGGGCCGGCAUCGAGGAGGAGAGUGCAGAAGCAAGGAAAGACCG